ensembl:lncRNA
GAAGGUUUAACUUGUUUAUGUUAAUGCUAGUUUAUAAAUUAGCUUCAAACUGUUGCAGACCAUGAAUUAGCUUGGUCGCGUGGAACCUGGAGCCUAUCCCAGGGAGGAUGGGGUACGAGGCGGGGUACACCCUGGAUAGGGCGCCGAUCCAUCACAGGGCACAAUCACAUACACUACGGACACUUUGGACACGCCAGUCAGUCUACCAUGCAUGUCAUUGGACUGGGGGAGGAAACCGGAGGACCCCGAGGAAACCCCCACAGCACGGGGAGAACAUGCAAACUCCAUUCACACAGUGCAGCGGCAGGAAUCGAACCCCCAACACCUGGAGGUGUGAGAGUUUUUCUAGGAGCAGCCUAAGAGUCUCUGGUUCUGACCUCGGGAUGAGUGUGUGACCGACGGCUGACCCGAUGGCAAACCGAGCAUGAUGGCCGACAUGGAGUCUGGUGGCUGGCGAUGCGUGUGCUGUCUGAAUCCUCCCCUGUAAUUAUGUGCUGGCUAAGCUUGACCUUCAGGCAAUACUUCAUCCAAAAACAAUGUGAACGAGAAGAAAAAAUAAGAAACAAACCUAGAGUGGUCGGAUUAGCCUGAUGCUAACUGGAUAUGGUACAAUGUUCAUUCCACACUGUAAGAGUGUGGCAUUCAUUUCAGAAUGCUAACUAAUAAAAAGAACUGAAAAGGAUCACGUUAGCAUCAAGCUAAUUGGACAUGCACGAUCACUAACAGAUAAUACAACACUGUAAAUGUUACUACAAAUGAGUUACUUAUAGAUUCUGUGGGAAAUGCUAGCAUAGUAAACACUGAAUAGCGUCUAAAUAGGAAUGAUUAGCUAGCACGAGCACAUUAGCAUCCUGCUAACUGGAUACAAAUAAACACUGAAUAAUUGCAGAAACUAGAGUUCAGCUUUAGCUGUUAAUUCAGCACCAUAAUAGUUCAUUUAACCUUUUAAUAAAAAAUGCUAACACAGCAAAUAACGAAUGGAACUAAAUAGAUAUGAUCAGUUAGCACAAACACAUUAGCAUCAUGCUAAUCGGACACUGUAAGUGUUAGUCUAGCUACAACUGUUUAAAAACGAAUUGAAGACUAAAUGUAAAUUUUCAUUUAAAAUGUAAAAUGAUAAACCGCAUAUGAAGCUAAGCAGGACUGAUUAGCUAGGGAGAACGCAUUAGCAUCAUGCCUACCGGACACAAAUGAACGGUGAAGAAAAAAAAAAAUCUGUGCUAUAUGAGUUCAUUUAACAUUAGAAUCCAAAAUGCUAACAUGGCUAAUAAGUAAUGAAACCGAAGGAACUAAAGUGUAACAAUGCUAACACUGC